GAAAAAAAAAAUGGAGUUCCUUAACUUUAUUUACAUAAUUUGUGCAAAAUGAUUUCUGAAUUUCAAGCAAUAUUUUAAAACGGAUGUAAUAAAUAAUGCCGCUGAUAUUGUCAUAAGAGUUCUAACUGAAGACCAGUUUUCAAUUCCUCUGUAUGGAUCGUCUGUUGCAAUAUCUAUAUCUUCUAUGUGAUUUGGUAGUCUCAGCCUGCAAAAAGGGAAAAGGGAUUCGAGGUCAUUUGGAAAAUGAUUUCGAAAUUAAUUCCGCCGGGUCACCUUAUUACUGACAAACAGGAGGCCUCUACUCGACAAUACAUUGGUCCUUCGUCUUUGCUUGUCCGGGGAAACUUUUACACGGUGCCCCGGCCCGUAAUUGCUAGUGCGAACCUGAAAAGCACUCGACGUUUCCAUGCCCUCUCAGCUUCCGCCUAAUUAGAAAGAGAAAGGUACGCUACUUGUUAUUUUGUAUCUUUCGUAUUCUGUUGUCGCCCCUCGAAACUAAUUAAUUUGUUUUUCAAAAAAAUAUUUUGCUGCGAUAUCUUUAAUAAGGCCGAAGUCGAUUUGAUAUCGCACAAAAAAAAAUCGUCCUUCCCCGUCGAGCUGCUCACACAACGAAAAAAUGU